AACGAACGCUGGCGGCGUGCCUAACACAUGCAAGUCGAACGAGACCUUCGGGUCUAGUGGCGCACGGGUGCGUAACGCGUGGGAACCUGCCCUUAGGUUCGGAAUAACUCCCCGAAAGGGGUGCUAAUACCGGAUAAUGUCUUCGGACCAAAGAUUUAUCGCCUUUGGAUGGGCCCGCGUUGGAUUAGCUAGUUGGUAGGGUAAAAGCCUACCAAGGCGACGAUCCAUAGCUGGUCUGAGAGGAUGAUCAGCCACACUGGGACUGAGACACGGCCCAGACUCCUACGGGAGGCAGCAGUGGGGAAUAUUGGACAAUGGGCGAAAGCCUGAUCCAGCAAUGCCGCGUGAGUGAUGAAGGCCUUAGGGUUGUAAAGCUCUUUUACCCGGGAUGAUAAUGACAGUACCGGGAGAAUAAGCGCCGGCUAACUCCGUG
rnacentral:rRNA from 1 species